rnacentral:rRNA from 1 species
UACAGAGGGUGCGAGCGUUAAUCGGAAUUACUGGGCGUAAAGCGUGCGUAGACGGUCGCGUAAGUCAGAUGUGAAAUCCCCGAGCUCAACUUGGGAAUUGCAAUGGAUACUGGCAGGCUGGAGUAUGGUAGAGGAAGGUGGAAUUCCCGGUGUAGCAGUGAAAUGCGUAGAGAUCGGGAGGAACACCAGUGGCGAAGGCGGCCUUCUGGACCAAUACUGACGCUCAUGCACGAAAGCGUGGGGAGCAAACAGG